UACGGAGGAUUCUAGCGUUGUCCGGAUUUAUUGGGUUUAAAGGGUGCGUAGGCGGAUGACUAAGUCAGGGGUGAAAGCCGGCAGCUUAACUGUCGAAAUGCCUUUGAAACUGGUCAUCUUGAAUAUAGUUGAGGUAGGCGGAAUGUGACAUGUAGCGGUGAAAUGCUUAGAUAUGUUACUGAACACCGAUUGCGAAGGCAGCUUACUAAACUAUCAUUGACGCUGAGGCACGAAAGCGUGGGGAUCAAACAGG
rnacentral:rRNA from 1 species